rnacentral:snRNA from 1 species
GUACCUGCCUGGUGCCGGGGCCUUGUUGGUCACCAAGGACGAGCACCCAGGCCGAGGCACGGGCAUUGCACGGCGCUCGCGUUGACCCCUGCCACUACCCCAAACUGGGGCAGAUGGGGCAUGCAAUUGCUUAAAUUCGGUUCAACCCAAGAGAGGGCGCCACCGC